AGAAAGGUCUUUCUUUUCAUAAUUAUGUUUAUUAGCCUCCUAGCAUAGGAACUGAUUCUGUUCUGUAAUUGCCAUGCAUCUCUGCUUGACAGCAGCAUUGAUCUUGGGUUUGGAUUGACAAUUAAACUCAAGACACCAUAGGCUUCAUCUGGCAUUGUUUAGCUUUAGGAAAGGCUAUGGAUACAAUAACAGCAUGAAUGGACCAGCAGAGUAAAGUCCCAUGACGCCCAGGCACAGCUUCUGAGGUCCCCUACACUCUGCACUUGGAAUGCGAUGAAGGGAUUUUACUAGGUGAAGAUUCCUUUGUCAGCUGCUCUUGGAGCCUGUACUCCAGCACCAGCUCCACUGAAGUUUAUUAUAGGAAACACUGGCAUUUGUCAUUUUUCCAAUAUUUGGAGCUUGCUGCCUUAAUAAAUGCACAUAUCAGAUGAUGCUCUCUCCCUGUCUGAUGGGCGGAUGCUGUUGGGCAGAAGAAGGUCACAGUGAUGUUAAAUUUGCUGCUGAGCAAAGGAUCAAAGUGUAAAUGGAAUCCUGAAAGCUGGGAAAUGUGAGUGUGCCAGUGUAAAUAAUCUAUUAAUUAUUGACAGCUAAGGGACUGAAAAUUCCUAUUUAGUCAUGACAUCUUCAUUUGCACACUGACUGAACCAUUUCUGGCAUUUUUAAAAUUAAAGUUUUCUUUUACUAUAGAUAUGAAAUAUUUCAAUUUAUACUACAUCUCUGCUGGUGCUUUCUUCUUCUUUUGACAUUUUUGUUUGAUUUCUG
rnacentral:lncRNA from 1 species